rnacentral:lncRNA from 1 species
GGUCUAUGGCUCUGAGGCCGUGCUCCCAACGGACCUCGAGUAUGGAUCUCCUCGACUCAAGGCAUACAACGAUCAGUCGAAUAAGGAAGCUCAAGAGAAUGCUGUCGACCAGCUUGAGGAGGCUCGAGACAUGGCCCUCCUCAACUCUGCCAGAUGUUGACACUUGCUAACACCACUUGAAUACUAGGUUGUCAUCCCCAGCAUGGCACUAGAGUGUACUAUGGUAUUUAUACGCACACAGAUAAUCCGCAAGCGCACGGAUACCGUUGAAGCUUUUACCCGGUUAAAGGUUUUAUCGUAUCCACAGGGAAACGAGAGAACCAACUACGCUCUAACUUAACCAAGAUAGAUAGAUAGGUGUAAAUAGGAAAGAUGAUAGAAUCGAAUAAGAACAAUAUUAAAGGUAAGAUAACAGUGAGUGAUAAUAUGGGAAUAGAGAAUAGAGCAAUUCUAGUAUAUGGGUGAUGGUAGCAGAAUAGAGAGGAUAACUAUGGUUUCUCUACUUCAAAGGGGUAUGUCUAUGUCUGGGACGAACCACGUGAUAAGAGUACACCACAAAGGAUGCUUAUCCAUAGGCCGACCUCUCCUCUAAUCCUCCUUCGCUCUCCAUCUCGCUACUAUCUAGAUCUACUCUAGUUUAGAGAAGAGAGGAGAGCUCUCAUCUCUAAACCCUAGCUUUUGCUCUGUCUAUGAAUAAUGAAUAAUGAUCAAGGGGUGUGUCUCCUCCAGGGGCCAGGGGGUCUGGUUUUAUAGUCCCCUCAAGUGAACCUGGGCCGUCGGAUCAAACCGACAUUGAUUGAACGGUUAUUCUUGAUCCUUUAGGUCGGUGGAGCAUAAUCCGCGAGAUUGAGCGUGAUUGGCCGAAAAAGGUGGGCGGGCGCCCUAAGGACUUGGGCGGGCGCCCUGUCCCUGACUCCGUUCGGUCUCCGCUUCCUUCCCAUGGCUUCUGGAGUCUUCUAGAUGUAAGAUAAUUGCGCGGCACGUUGAUAUCUCUAUGUAAUCCCGACGUGUGGGCCUUUCUUCCUUAUUUCCUGAUAACCCCCUGCAGAAAUAGACAAACACCAAAACUCGUGGAAUUCUGUCAGAUAAAACCCUAAGUCUUGAUGUUGAUUUCAUUUGGAUCCUUUUCUUUGUUUAUUUGAUAGUUAAAUUUGAUACUUAAGGACCGUCAACAAACUCCCCCAAGCUUACCUCUUGCUCGUCCCUGAGUAAGAAUAGACUCAGCUAUGGAUCAUAAGUUGUUGCAAUAUCUUUAAAAAUUGACGGUACACAUGCUUUUAAAUGAGGUCUCAUCUCUGAGUUAGAGUAAACUGUCAAGACUUAAAACUUACUUACUUUACAUUUCACCAUGGGACUUGUAACUGUCACUUCUGUCUUGAGUGGUUAAAAGAUAGAACAGUCCAGUCAAGUGUCAUGUCGCUUAUUCUUGAUCAGCUAUAGCUCUGGAGUUUUUGCAGAUUUUCAAAUAAAACUCAGAGAUUCCUUUGUAUGACUCUCUCAUAUCUCUCUUUUGUGGUAUUUCUGGAUCCUUACCAAGGCAGUAAUGGUAUAUGCCUUCUCUCAAAAUAUGUGGUAUUUGUGGUAUAAGGGAUAGUGACAUUGUCUUCUCUCUCACCCUACUCUAAUAAGGCUUUAAUAUCUGGAGCUCAUAGGUGGGAGAUAAAAUAUACAUACUUACAAGACAUUUAUUAUAUAGUCAAACCAUGGAUCCAAAGAAACAAAUCAAUAAGCCAAAUCAAGAUGUGCAUGUGUGGCGAAUGAAUAGUGUAUGGUGAUGAUGGUGAUAACAAUGGUGAAAGUCUAAUUCUACUUUUGCUCUUUUGAGGGGAUACAUACCUUUCUUGCUUUUUGAAACUUUAUGAGGAGAAUGAGAUGCUCUUAUUUUUCUUUUCUCUCAGAUGGGUAUCCUAUACCCGUAAUUCUACUGUCGGACACUUGUCCAUUUUUACCUCUCGUCUCACUCUUUUUCUUUUCUUUCGAGGUUCCGGGCACUUGCCCCUUUUUAUUUCCUCGUUUAUUAUUUUUUUUCUUUUUUUUCUCUUUUUUUUUUAGAGCACUCAUCUCCUGAAAUAAUGUAGCAAGUGGUAGUAACCAAAAUAACUGGAGCAUUUAUUUCACAGGGAAUAACAGGGAUAGGAAAAUGUUUUUGGCUAUUCUCUCCUAGAUUAGGAGUAGAAUGAUUUUGGGUGAAACUGGAGAUGGAAAUGGAUGGAUAUAUGUGGAUGGUACUUCCGGAGUAGAAGUAGUAUAUAUGAGUGAAUGUGUAAGUGAAUCUUGAUUUAACCACAUGACAAGCUCCUAAGGGUCUACACAGCUUGACCACACUCAAUGCUCAUAAGCCGUAAAUAAUAAAUGUGUGGCUCAAAGUCUAGCAAGCAUGUAUAUAUGGCUGUGGUAGGAAUUUAAACUUUCAUCAUACAGGAACUCAUCAUGCAAUAUUUUAAAGAUUUUUUCAAAGAUAAAAUUCUCCAGAAUUCUAGCAUCUCUAGGAAUAGGUAAACAGCAGCUCAACCUUCCCAUAUCAUAUCCGUUAACAACUUAGAUUUCAGAUCAAGUUUUCAUCCCACAAGUUUAGAUCUAGACCAAGCUUUCAAUUAUAACAGUUAUGUCUAAACUUGAGAGAGAACUUCAAAUUUGCAAAUUAGGCAGAGCAACUAUUCAUCAUAUCCAUGCUAGAGUUUUAUUAUUAAAAUUUAGAUUAGCAUAGCCACUUUAUUUAUUUAUUAAACACACUAAGCAAAAGAUAUAUAUAAGCACAAAAUCUUUAUUUAGUUUUUCAUAGUUUAUGUAUUUUAAUAUUCUAAUAUAAUAUAAGUAUAAAGAUAGGUAGAAAUACUUAGCGAGAUAAAUAGGGUUGCUCUCCCCCAAGCUGAAUUUUGACGUAAUUUCUCUUGAUGUAGCUAGUAGGUGGCAGAGGUGUAUUUGAAAGGCAGCAGCAUUCUGACAGCGAUUAGAAUGUCCUUCGUCUGCUAGUCUUCUUGAUUCUUAAAUUCUGUGGAGCUCAAAUAGACAACAAUGCUUGUGGAACUAAUUAAGUGUUAGCAUAAAUAUCUAGCCUUCGUCACGUUGAGCUUCCUCAAUAAAUAUUACUCCCUGUUUUUAUAUUUUUAUUUUAUAAAGUAAAAAAGAAAUAUUUAUUUUAUUUUUAUGCCACCACAGUGAAGGUACUUAUGGGUUUUAUGCCACUCAUAUACUCACAUGGGGCUUAGUAUUUUUUAACAUUUUUAUUUUCUUUUCAAGAUAGCAUGAUUAACUAAUAAUCUAUUUAAGGAAAGUAAAUAAUUAAAUGGAAAAGGAAAUGCAGAAAGGAUAAAUAUGGAUAACUACCAAUCUUACCUUUCAGCGAGGGUUUAAUGUUUUAAGUCUUCUUGUCAAGACUUCUCAUCGUGUUCAUUCUUCAGGUGCGUCAUUUGAUUCAGGUGCGGACCUUGACGUCUGCACCUUUUAAUACGGUGUCACCCAUGUUCUUCGUUUGCCCAGCAGUUCAAAGUGCGGUAUUGGCAGUAUCCUGCUCAGUGUGUUUGUACUCGUAGAUGCAGGUCCUUCACUUGGUAGAGUUUGAGAGUUAUAAAACUCCUCCGUGGUUUGCUCGAAGUGUACCUGCUCAUAGAGACAAGGCAGAGAUCAAGUGCAUGGGUCCUGUUGGUGGAAAACACCAACAGAACCUAAAGUGUAUUUGUUCUUCUCUAACCUUAUGCAUAGUGAGCAAGACAAAGUUGAUGGAUGAUAAGUUCAUGAGUGUAGCACUUAUAACAUUUGUCAGAUCAGAUCGCUCAACCUUAUGGAAACAUAAUCUAUCUAUGUAUAUGUCUUUUUCUUUAUAUCUCUCAAUGAUUGAAUGUGUAACAUUUUAGCUCAUAUGAUUAGGAGUGUGGGAUCAUGGAGGUAGUACUAAGAACAAGGAUUAAAAGACUAAACAUGUUUAAUCAGUUGGGUUGGUUAAUCUAGAGUUGUAAAUCAUACACGUUUGUCUCUUUUAUUUAUAUGAACGCCAGAACCAAGGAGAAGCUUAUAAAAGUGAUAGUCAAGUACCUUAAGAUGUUACCUUGCUUGAAGAGUGGUGGUACAGUAUCAUCUUAUGGAAGCUUUCCUUUCUUAGCGGUUGUGCAUCGUGUUUGUGGCACCCUCCAUGGAUCAUCUCUUUAUGAUGAAUGAGCUAUGUCCUUCUCGUGCAAAUUGUUAAACUUCAUGUGUCACUCUCUUCGUCUCUGAUGUGAGUUUAUCUCAGGACUUCCCAAAUCGAUAUUGAAAGUUUUUCUGCAGGGGUUAGUCCGACAAAAUAUACCAAUAUCUACUCAAGCAGUUUUUUUAGUUCAAUAACCAAACUAGAGUCCAUGUCUAAUCAGAUUAAGGAAGGCUAUUUAACCUAAUCACCAUGCUUAAUUUAAAUGCCAAUGGAAGUAUGGCGAGUACUUCCAAACCAACACUUGCUAGUAAAUAGACAAAGGUAGCAUGACAGUGUUUAUAGAGAUCUACUCAAGUGGAGAUGAAGUAGUGUGAUUAGUAUUUAACAAAUUGAGCAUGUCUCAAAGGUAGGGACAACCAGCAUAGCAACAUGGCAAAGGAUGUUUUUAUGUAAAGUACUCCCCCAAGCUUGAAUUUUGCAAAAUUCAAGUUUGGAUGAAUUUAAUUCAAUGUUGUAUGAUGAUUGGUUGGACAUACCUUGUGCUUAUCAUUCAUCCGAUCUUCUUGCUCCAAUCUUAGAAAGGUUAGUGACAAGAAUACCCGAAGGAAUAUUUUUUUUUACAAUUAUCCUUAUAUGCUCAAUACACAUGGUAAUGUUGCAAAUAAUUAAAGGCUCAUGUUACGAUCUGAUCAAUGCUUAUUUUAAGACACUAAGCUUGUCCUUGGGAAACCAUCAGUUUAUGUUGGCG